rnacentral:rRNA from 1 species
GUGGAUUAGAUACCCUGGUAGUCCACGCCGUAAACGAUGAGAACUAGGUGUGGGAGGUGUCGACUCCUCCCGUGCCGUCGCUAACGCAUUAAGUUCUCCGCCUGGGGAGUACGGCCGCAAGGCUAAAACUCAAAGGAAUUGACGGGGGCCCGCACAAGCAGCGGAGCAUGUGGUUUAAUUCGAUGCAACGCGAAGAACCUUACCUGGGUUUGAAAUGUUGGUGACCGGUGUGGAAACACACCUUUCCUUCGGGACACCAUCACAGGUGGUGCACGGCCGUCGUCAGCU